GACGAACGCUGGCGGCGUGCUUAACACAUGCAAGUCGAACGAGAAUCUUGCUUUAGUUUACUAAAGGAAGAGGACAGUGGCGAACGGGUGAGUAACGCGUAGGUAACCAACCUUACACAGGGGGAUAGCCCCGGGAAACUGGGAGUAAUACCGCAUAAGACCACAGUGCCGCAUGGUGCAGUGGUAAAAAUUGAGAUGGUGUAAGACGGACCUGCGUCCCAUUAGCUAGUUGGUGAGGUAACGGCCCACCAAGGCGACGAUGGGUAGCCGACCUGAGAGGGUGAUCGGCCACAUUGGGACUGAGACACGGCCCAAACUCCUACGGGAGGCUG
rnacentral:rRNA from 1 species